AGAGAUCUUGGAAAUAGAGGCCAUGUGUAUUGAAACAAGACCGAACAACUCCAAGUUCCUGAAGACUUCAUUUCACCAACCCAGAACCUCCUCGAUCAUCACAGUGGUCGAACCAUUUUACGUUUUCACCAGCAAGGAAGGAGGGUUCCUGUUGCUCUACCAUUUGGUACUGUCAGCGUUUUGGAUAUUAGCCGUCCUAAUAGAAAAGAGUGAGUAACUAGUGGCCUUUAGAUGAGCCAACCGCAAGCCUGGACUCAUCUUUGACAUCUCCUGCUUCCCUCCAUAAUGACCGUCGUUGCUCCUCUUGCCCAAGGUGUUUGACUCUUUCUACAGCCUUUGCAUGGAUGAUUGUCUGUCCUCUGUUGGGCCCCUUCUGAAGAGAUGGAGUUGGUUGCAAACUAUAGAAACCAUUUGGGCUGGUUUGAGCAUAAAAGGAAAUUACUGGGAGUUAUUAGGUGCUCAGUGAUUCAUUGGGAGGUCUGGCAAAAAAGAAGCUCAAGGCUAAGCUCAUAGGAACACAGCCCGGCAUCUCACACAGAAGUGGCUUGAUGAGGAUUCUACUGCCUCCACAGCUCCUGCCAUCAUCUUCAUCUGCACCAUAGAUGCUCAGAACCCAGUCUGUGUCUGCAUGUUGCUGACUUCCAAAUGAGAGCUUCAUGACAGUGUAUUUGGUUGGUAGAACAUAGGUCCCAGACCUUCUCCCUGGGAGCUGGAAGAGAUGCUGGGAAAUUCUGCCCUGGAAAAAUAAAACUCACAACGUGGGAAACAAAGAAAAUGUACAGCAGGGGUUUAACAGAAUGACAGGUAUCUGCUAAAGAAAAUAUUGAUUUUUUUUUUUAAAAAAAGGACAAUUUUCCCUUUAGAGCCCCAGAAAGAUUCAGGCCUUAGAGGCACUAAGUACUAUAGAAAAUGAGGCUGAAGCAUGGGGCUGAAACUUGGUUUGGUUGAAGGUCUCUGGAAGGCAGAGCAGUUUAACCUCUAGGUUCCCUCAUCCACCCCCAUACAGCCAGACAAUUAUCCCUCCACCCUUCUGUUCUCCUCCCCUCUUCCCUUAGAAAACUUGAAGUUUAU
rnacentral:lncRNA from 1 species